rnacentral:tRNA from 1 species
GGGCCUGUAGUUUCAAUGGUAAAACAUCGGUCUCCAAAACCGAGGUUCCGCGUUCGACUCGCGGCGGGCCCGCAA